AUGGUUAUUCUGGUUUUUUCUCAAAUACCUGUGUCAAAAGAGGAUCAAGAAAAGACAACUUUUACUUUCCCUUUUGGUACCUUUGCUUAUAGACGUAUGCCUUUUGGUUUAUGCAAUGCACCUGCUACCUUCCAAAGAUGUAUGACUGCUAUAUUCUUUGACUUUUGUGAAAAGAUUGUUGAGGUUUUCAUGGAUGAUUUCUCUGUAUAUGGAACUUCUUUUGAUGAUUGCUUAAGCAACCUUGAUCGAUUUUUGCAGAGAUGUGAAGAAACUAAUCUUGUCUUGAAUUGGGAGAAGUGCCACUUUAUGGUUAAUGAAGGUAUUGUCUUGGGGCAUAAAAUUUCUGAAGGAGGUAUUGAAGUUGAUAAAGCUAAAGUUGAUGCUAUUGAAAAGAUGCCGUGUCCUAAGGACAUUAAAGGUAUACGAAGUUUCCUUGGUCAUGCCGGUUUUUAUAGGAGGUUCAUUAAAGACUGCUCAAAAAUUUCCAGGCCUCUAACUAAUCUCUUACAAAAAAGAUGUUCCUUUUGUCUUGGAUGA
rnacentral:rRNA from 1 species